rnacentral:rRNA from 1 species
AACGAACGCUGGCGGCAUGCCUAACACAUGCAAGUCGAACGAGACCUUCGGGUCUAGUGGCGCACGGGUGCGUAACGCGUGGGAACCUGCCCUUAGGUUCGGAAUAACUCCCCGAAAGGGGUGCUAAUACCGGAUAAUGUCUUCGGACCAAAGAUUUAUCGCCUUUGGAUGGGCCCGCGUUGGAUUAGCUAGUUGGUAGGGUAAAAGCCUACCAAGGCGACGAUCCAUAGCUGGUCUGAGAGGAUGAUCAGCCACACUGGGACUGAGACACGGCCCAGACUCCUACGGUGGGCCGCAGUGGGGAAUAUUGGACAAUGGGCGAAAGCCUGAUCCCGCAGUGCCGCGUGAGUGAUGAAGGCCUUAGGGUUGUAAAGCUCUUUUACCCGGGAUGAUAAUGACAGUACCGGGAGAAUAAGCUCCGGCUACCUCCGU